ACAAUCGAGACUCACGCAUAUUAUAAUAUAUUACGUAGAUACACUGCACGGAUUAUUUGCCGCGCGAUCUUUCGUUUUUGUUGUUUGUAUUCAAAGCUAAGCAGUAAUUGCAGUUGUAGUUUAAAAAGUCACAUUUUUCGAUAAAUUCAACUAAGUAGUCUACAAAAAUAAAAAUGAAGAUUAAAAACCAACUAGUUUAUUAGUUAUUUUGUUAACAUUUUAGUUAAAGGUAAAUUAAAUUUAAAACUGUAGACCUAUUGCACGUAUUUAUGUAUUUAUUCUUCAACGAAAAUUAAGUGUUUUCACGUGAUCAUUAUAAUUAUCAUUAUCACAUAACGAGACAUGUAUUCGGCCUAUGUG